UUUUCCUACGGGAGGCAGCAGUGGGGGAUAUUGCACAAUGGGGGGAACCCUGAUGCAGCGACGCCGCGUGGGUGAAGGAGCGUUUCGGCGCGUAAAGCCCUAUCGGCAGGGAAGAAGGAGGACGGUACCUGACUAAGAAGCCCCGGCUAACUACGUGCCAGCAGCCGCGGUAAUACGUAGGGGGCGAGCGUUAUCCGGAUUUACUGGGUGUAAAGGGGGCGCAGACGGCCAUGGCAAGCCCGGUGUGAAAGGUGCGGGCACAACCCGCCGACUGCACUGGGAACUGCCUGGCUGGAGUGCCGGAG
rnacentral:rRNA from 1 species